UAAGUUACAUUGCAGAAGUGUAGAGAUUUUCUUUAGUGGGUCGGCAGACAAUUUCAAGCAUUGAUUGAAAGUGUAACAGAAUAGAGCCGUUGCAUUGGCUCUACUUAAAUUUUAGAAUGUGAUUCCUUCGUAUGGCACUAGCUGAUGCAAUAGGACUACUUUCUUGUGUUUUGGUGGAAUUGCUUUUCAGGAAGUCUGUCUGGUUGUGGUCUGACUUUGUUUGCAUGGGCGAGUGAUUUUUAGUUGGCAAUAAUUUUUCCUCUAUAAAUUUAGUAAUCCUUAUGUAUAAAACAAAAACUUUUGUAAUUCUUGGACGACUAGGUUGCAAAGUGAGUGAAAAAUCAUGUCUAGAU
rnacentral:lncRNA from 1 species